CUUGAUCGACCCGAGCCAGAGCGGCUCUUCCCGGUCCUGGCCGUAGGUGGCCAGCAGGGCCUGGGCCUC
rnacentral:antisense_RNA from 1 species